rnacentral:rRNA from 1 species
CGAGCGGUAAGGCCCUUCGGGGUACACGAGCGGCGAACGGGUGAGUAACACGUGGGUAACCUGCCCUGUACUCUGGGAUAAGCCCGGGAAACUGGGUCUAAUACCGGAUAUGACACCGGAUCGCAUGAUCUGGUGUGGAAAGUUCCGGCGGUAUGGGAUGGACCCGCGGCCUAUCAGCUUGUUGGUGGGGUAAUGGCCUACCAAGGCGACGACGGGUAGCCGGCCUGAGAGGGUGACCGGCCACACUGGGACUGAGACACGGCCCAGACUCCUACGGGAGGCAGCAGUGGGGAAUAUUGCACAAUGGGCGAAAGCCUGAUGCAGCGACGCCGCGUGAGGGAUGACGGCCUUCGGGUUGUAAACCUCUUUCAGCAGGGACGAAGCGCAAGUGACGGUACCUGCAGAAGAAGCACCGGCUAACUACGUGCCAGCAGCCGCGGUAAUACGUAGGGUGCGAGCGUUGUCCGGAAUUAUUGGGCGUAAAGAGCUCGUAGGCGGUUUGUCGCGUCGGCCGUGAAAACUUGGGGCUUAACCCCGAGCCUGCGGUCGAUACGGGCAGACUUGAGUUCGGCAGGGGAGACUGGAAUUCCUGGUGUAGCGGUGAAAUGCGCAGAUAUCAGGAGGAACACCGGUGGCGAAGGCGGGUCUCUGGGCCGAUACUGACGCUGAGGAGCGAAAGCGUGGGGAGCGAACAGGAUUAGAUACCCUGGUAGUCCACGCCGUAAACGGUGGGUGCUAGGUGUGGGGGACUUCCACGUUCUCCGUGCCGCAGCUAACGCAUUAAGCACCCCGCCUGGGGAGUAC